AUUGAACGCUGGCGGCAGGCCUAACACAUGCAAGUCGAGUGAGCGGCGGACGGGUGAGUAAUGUAUGGGGACUGCCCGAUAGAGGGGGAUAACUACUGGAAACGGUGGCUAAUACCGCAUACUAUCGGAUAACCCAUAUUGGAUUAGCUAGUAGGUGGGGUAAAGGCGCACCUAGGCGACGAUCUCUAGCUGGUCUGAGAGGAGGAUCAGCCACACUGGGACUGAGAAACGGCCCAGACUCCUACGGAGGGAGCAGGGGGGAAUAUUGCACAAUGGGAGCAAGCCUGAUGCAGCCAUGCCGCGUGGAUGACGAAGGCCGUAGGGUUGUAAAGUACUUUCGGCAGGGACGCGGUACCCGCAGAAUAAGCACCGGCUAACUCCGUGCCAGCCGCCGCGGUAAUUC
rnacentral:rRNA from 1 species